ACUCAAAGGAAUAGACGGGGGCCCGCACAAGCAGCGGAGCGUGUGGUUUAAUUCGAUGCAACGCGAAGAACCUUACCUAGGCUUGACAUGGCUCUGUAAAGCUAAGAAAUUAGCUCCCCUUCGGGCAGAGUCACAGAUGUUGCAUGGCUGUCGUCAGCUCGUGUCGUGAGAUGUUGGGUUAAGUCCCGCAACGAGCGCAACCCUCGUGGCUAGUUGAACUAUCUAGCCAGACUGCCUACUAAAUAGGAGGAAGGUGGGGAUGACGUCAAGUCCGCAUGGCUCUUACGUCUAGGGCUACACACACGCUACAAUGGCCGGUACAGAGCGCAGCCACACCGCGAGGUGGAGCAAAUCGCAAAAGCCGGUCUCAGUUCGGAUUGCAGGCUGCAACUCGCCUGCAUGAAGUCGGAGUUGCUAGUAACCGCGCGUCAGCACAGUGCGGUGAAUAUGUUCCCGGGCCUUGUACACACCGCCCGU
rnacentral:rRNA from 1 species